UUCGGUGGCGAUGGCGGCGGGGACACACCCGUUCCCAUUCCGAACACGGCAGUUAAGCCCGCCAGCGCCGAUGGUACUUGGGUUGAGAAACCCUGGGAGAGUAGGACGUCGCCGGAU
rnacentral:rRNA from 3 species